rnacentral:rRNA from 1 species
UACGUAGGAUGCAAGCGUUGUCCGGAUUUACUGGGCGUAAAGCGCGCGCAGGCGGCACUCUAAGUACGUCGUGAAAUAUCCCGGCUCAACCGGGAGGGUGCGAUGUAGACUAGGGAGCUAGAGGUCGGUAGAGGGGGGUGGAAUUGCUGGUGUAGCGGUGAAAUGCGUAGAUAUCAGGAGGAACACCUGUGGCGAAAGCGGCUCACUGGACCACAACUGACGCUGAUGCACGAAAGCUAGGGGAGCAAACAGG